GGGUCUGUAGCUCAGGUGGUUAGAGCGCACGCCUGAUAAGCGUGAGGUCGGAAGUUCAACUCUUCCCAGACCCA
rnacentral:tRNA from 1 species